AACGAACGCUGGCGGCAUGCCUAACACAUGCAAGUCGAACGAGACCUUCGGGUCUAGUGGCGCACGGGUGCGUAACGCGUGGGAACCUGCCCUUAGGUUCGGAAUAACUCCCCGAAAGGGGUGCUAAUACCGGAUAAUGUCUUCGGACCAAAGAUUUAUCGCCUUUGGAUGGGCCCGCGUUGGCUUAGCUGGUUGGUAGGGUAAAAGCCUACCAAGGCGACGAUCCAUAGCUGGUCUGAGAGGAUGAUCAGCCACACUGGGGCUGAGACACGGCCCAGACUCCUACGGGAGGCAGCAGUGGGGAAUAUUGGACAAUGGGCGAAAGCCUGAUCCAGCACUGCCGCGUGAGUGAUGAAGGCCUUAGGGUUGUAAAGCUCUUUUACCCGGGAUGAUAAUGACAGUACCGGGAGAAUAAGCUCCGGCUAACUCCGUG
rnacentral:rRNA from 1 species